rnacentral:rRNA from 1 species
UACAGGGGGGGCAAGCGUUGUUCGGAAUUACUGGGCGUAAAGGGCGCGUAGGCGGCCCGCUAAGUCGAACGUGAAAUCCCCGGGCUCAACCCGGGAACUGCGUCCGAUACUGGCAGGCUUGAAUCCGGGAGAGGGAUGCGGAAUUCCAGGUGUAGCGGUGAAAUGCGUAGAUAUCUGGAGGAACACCGGUGGCGAAGGCGGCAUCCUGGACCGGCAUUGACGCUGAGGCGCGAAAGCCAGGGGAGCAAACGGG